rnacentral:tRNA from 2 species
GGCCCCGUCGUCUAGUGGACUAGGACGCUGCCCUCUCAAGGCAGAGAUCAGGGGUUCGAAUCCCCUCGGGGCUA